UGGUUUUUGGCCUAGUGGCUAACACGGAUGGCUGAGACCCACAAGACCGGGGUUCGAGUCCCCGCUGUGGCUAA